AUACGUAGGGAGCGAGCGUUGUCCGGAAUUACUGGGUGUAAAGGGAGCGUAGGCGGGAGUGCAAGUCAGAUGUGAAAUACAUGGGCUCAACCCAUGGGCUGCAUUUGAAACUGCAUUUCUUGAGUGAAGUAGAGGUAAGCGGAAUUCCUGGUGUAGCGGUGAAAUGCGUAGAGAUCGGGAGGAACACCAGUGGCGAAGGCGGGUAACUGUACUGCAACUGACGCUGAGGCGCGAAAGUGUGGGGAGCAAACAGGAUUAGAUACCCUGGUAGUCCACACUGUAAACGAUGAAUGCUAGGUGUAAGAGGUAUCGACCCCUUUUGUGCCGGAGUCAACACAAUAAGCAUUCCGCCUGGGGAGUACGGCCGCAAGGUUGAAACUCAAAGGAAUUGGCGGGG
rnacentral:rRNA from 1 species